rnacentral:rRNA from 1 species
AUUAGUUGCCAGCAUUUAGUUGGGCACUCUAAUGAGACUGCCGGUGAUAAACCGGAGGAAGGUGGGGACGACGUCAGAUCAUCAUGCCCCUUAUGACCUGGGCAACACACGUGCUACAAUGGGAAGUACAACGAGUCGCAAACCGGCGACGGUAAGCUAAUCUCUUAAAACUUCUCUCAGUUCGGACUGGAGUCUGCAACUCGACUCCACGAAGGCGGAAUCGCUAGUAAUCGCGAAUCAGCAUGUCGCGGUGAAUACGUUCCCGGGUCUUGUACACACCGCCCGUCAAAUCAUGGGAGUCGGAAGUACCCAAAGUCGCUUGGCUAACUUUUAGAGGCCGGUGCCUAAGGUAAAAUCGAUGACUGGGAUUAAGUCGUAACAAGGUAGCCGUAGGAGAACCUGCGGCUGGAUCACCUCCUUUCUAAGGA